CCUUAGCAGGUAUUGUGGGUCAAAUUCGACCCAGAAGCGAACAUUUUCGGUAAUUAUUUUUUUAAUAUUUAUGCUACGACUGCGCGCUUCUACGUAUUCUCAGUGCGUCGCUAGCUGCGGCGGGGGGCGGAAGUGCAGCGCUGCAACUAUCUUAGGAGCGGAGUGAAUAUUUCUACUACAAUGGGGGGCUUUUUGAGAUGAACGACUCAAAUGAUGAUUUGGAACCGGAAAAUCGGAAAGGACACCAAAUAUAAAUCAAGUUUCAGUCAUCAGUCCCAGUUUGAAGAACCAGUUGCAACGACCUCUUCUGCAGCUUCAAUUUCAAGUCGGAAAAGAGCCCGAUGCUACCUAUGCGAUUGGAAAAAUGACCGAAAACAUUCUCAAAAAUGUUCUAAAUGUUUACAUAUUAUUUGUAAGACACAUUCCUUCCAAAAUGUUCAGUGUUCUAGAGUUGUCAGAAAGUAUAAAGACUAAUCUUGUUAGUUUGGAAAAAGUCGUUUUGAUUUUGGUUGUCAUUUUUUUUAUUUUAUGCUGAUCUCAGAAGCAAUUUAUUUUUUUGUUAUCAUAAGGAUAUAAAAAGUGCCAUACAUAUCUUUUAGUUAAAGUUUUUCAUACAUUUCUAUUUUUUUUUUAUGUUUUAAGUUCACACUAACCAGAAAGUGCCAAAAAAUUUGGUUAGUUACAAAUGUGUGUAAAAUAUAAUAAUUUUUUAAUAUUCUAAAAUUAAACCAAGAUAAUUUUGUAAAAAA